GUGCCAGCAGCCGCGGUAAUAUCGGCAGCACAAGUGAUGGCCGAUAUUAUUGGGCCUAAAGCGUUCGUAGCCGGCCAGACAAGUCUGUUGGGAAAUCCACGCGCCCAACGCGUGGGCGUCCAGCGGAAACUGUCUGGCUUGGGGCCGGAAGACUCGAGGGGUACGUCCGGGGUAGGAGUGAAAUCCCGUAAUCCUGGACGGACCACCGGUGGCGAAAGCGCCUCGAGAAGACGGACCCGACGGUGAGGAACGAAAGCCAGGGUCUCGAACCGGAUUAGAAACCCCAGUAGUCC
rnacentral:rRNA from 1 species